GAUGAACGCUAGCUACAGGCUUAACACAUGCAAGUCGAGGGGUAACGAGAGGAAAGCUUGCUUUCCUUGUCGACGACCGGCGCACGGGUGAGUAACGCGUAUCCAACCUGCCCCCAACUAGGGAAUAACCUUGCGAAAGUAAGACUAAUACCCUAUAAUUUCCUCAGAUGUCAUCUGACGAGGAAUAAAGAUUUAUCGGUUGUGGAUGGGGAUGCGUCUGAUUAGCUUGUUGGCGGGGUAACGGCCCACCCAGGCAACGAUCAGUAGGGGUUCUGAGAGGAAAGUCCCCCACAUUGGAAAUGAGACAAGGUCCAAACUCCUACGGGAGGCAGCAGUGAGUAAUAUUGGUCAAUGGGCGGAAGCCUGAACCAGCCAAGUAGCGUGCAGGAUGACGGCCCUAUGGGUUGUAAACUGCUUUUAUACAGGAAUAAAGUUAGCCACGUGUGGUUAUUUGUAGGUACUGUAUGAAUAAGGACCGGCUAAUUCCGUGCCAGCCGCCGCCGUAA
rnacentral:rRNA from 1 species